UAUAAUCAGUAUCAUGGCCUUUGUAUACAACAAAAUUGAUUGGAACUCCUAGACUAGAAAUAUAAUUCAAGAUUUAAAUAAGGCACUGUUCAUAGUUUUAGAAAGUGUGGCUAGCAUUCUGAAGGAAGACAGAGACAUGGAAAGUCAUCAAAGAAUGGGCAGGUCUGCCAAGAAAUGGUUUAUCCAGGGCUAAGUACAGAGAGGAAUAUAGAAGGGCUGUUGACAGAUCUUGUGUGGUGCCCCCAUGGUUCAACAGACUAAUUGAUUGAAAAUAAUACCAGGGUUAUGCUCCUUUGACCAUUGAGUUCCAGGAUGAAGAAUGAAAGACAAAGAGCAAUGUAAAGACAUGAAAGAAUAGGCAGGUCUGCCAUGAAAUGGUUUAUCCAGGGCUAAGUACAGAGAGGAAUAUAGAAGGGCUGUUGACAGAUCUUGUGUGGGGCCCCCAUGGUUCAACAGACUGAUUGAUAGGUAAUGGUAAGAAUUUAAUGUAUUUUGUAAAAAAAAUGGUGUUAAUUACAUUAAGGGACUUAAUCACUCUUUUUUUAAUUUUUACAUU